rnacentral:misc_RNA from 1 species
GAAAUGCGAUAAGUGGUGUGAAUUGCAGAAUUCAGUGAAUCAUCGAAUCUUUGAACGCACAUUACGCCCUUUGGUAUUCCAAAGGGCAUGCCUGUUCGAGCGUCAUUUGUACCCUCAAGCUUUGCUUGGUGUUGGGCGUCUUGUCUCUAGCUUUGCUGGAGACUCGCCUUAAAGUAAUUGGCAGCCGGCCUACUGGUUUCGGAGCGCAGCACAAGUCGCACUCUCUAUCAGCAAAGGUCUAGCAUCCAUUAAGCCUUUUUUCAACUUUUGACCUCGGAUCAGGUAGGGAUACCCGCUGAACUUAAGC